rnacentral:rRNA from 1 species
AGCAAUUAUACCGCGAAACUGCGAAUGGCUCAUUAAAUCAGUUAUCGUUUAUUUGAUAGUACCUUACUACUUGGAUAACCGUGGUAAUUCUAGAGCUAAUACAUGCUAAAAAUCCCGACUUCGGAAGGGAUGUAUUUAUUAGAUUAAAAACCAAUGCCCUUCGGGGCUCUCUGGUGAUUCAUAAUAACUUCUCGAAUCGCACGGCCUUGCGCCGGCGAUGGUUCAUUCAAAUUUCUGCCCUAUCAACUUUCGACGGCUGGGUCUUGGCCAGCCAUGGUGACAACGGGUAACGGAGGGUUAGGGCUCGACCCCGGAGAAGGAGCCUGAGAAACGGCUACUACAUCCAAGGAAGGCAGCAGGCGCGCAAAUUACCCAAUCCCGACUCGGGGAGGUAGUGACAAUAAAUACUGAUACAGGGCUCUUUUGGGUCUUGUAAUUGGAAUGAGUACAAUUUAAAUCCCUUAACGAGGAACAAUUGGAGGGCAAGUCUGGUGCCAGCAGCCGCGGUAAUUCCAGCUCCAAUAGCGUAUAUUAAAGUUGUUGCAGUUAAAAAGCUCGUAGUUGAACCUUGGGCCUGGCUGGCCGGUCCGCCUCACCGCGUGCACUGGUCCGGCCGGGCCUUUCCCUCUGGGGAACCGCAUGCCCUUCACUGGGUGUGUCGGGGAACCAGGACUUUUACUUUGAACAAAUUAGAUCGCUUAAAGAAGGCCUAUGCUCGAAUACAUUAGCAUGGAAUAAUAGAAUAGGACGUGUGGUUCUAUUUUGUUGGUUUCUAGGACCGCCGUAAUGAUUAAUAGGGACAGUCGGGGGGCAUCAGUAUUCAAUUGUCAGAGGUGAAAUUCUUGGAUUUAUUGAAGACUAACUACUGCGAAAGCAUUUGCCA